rnacentral:lncRNA from 1 species
CGGUGUUUGCUUCUUCGGGUUGGUUCCGGUAACGUCGCGUUUGUGAGGACCCGUUCGACUACGCCCGUUUGUCUUCUUCAUGGACUCGUUCUUCUUCCUUGCGGGAUCUCAGGCAAGAUGACCAUACCCUCGAAAUCACUUCUAUCUUUGCUUGCUAGAUGCUCGCUCUUUUGCUAUGUCUAUGCUGCGAUACCUACCACUUGCUUAUCAUGCCUCCCAUAUUGUUGAACCAAGCCUCUAACCCACCUGGUCCUAGCAAACCGUUGAUUGGCUAUGUUACCACUUUGCUCAGCCCCUCUUAUAGCGUUGUUAGUUGCAGGUGAAGAUUGACGUUUGUUCCUUGUUGGAACAUGGAGAUGUUGUUCCUUGUUGGAACAUGUUUACUUGUUGGGAUAUCACAAUAUCUCUUAUUUAAUUAAUGCAUCUAUAUACUUGGUAAAGGGUGGAAGGCUCGUCCUUUUGCCUAAUGUGUUCCACUCUUGCCGCCCUAGUUUCCGUCAUAUCGGUGUUAUGUUCCCGGAUUUUGCGUUCCUUACGCGGUUGGGUGAUAAUGGGAACCCCUUGACAGCUCGUGUUGAAUAAAACUCUUCCAGCAAUGCCCAACUUUGGUUUUACCAUUCGCCACCUAGCCUCUUUUUCCCUUGGGUUCCGCGGACUCAAGGGUCAUCUUUAUUUAAACCCUCCUGGGCCAGUGCUCCUCUGAGUGUUGGUCCGACCGAGCAGACUGCGGGGCCACCUCGGGGCAACUUGAGGGUUGGUUUUACUCGUUGGAUGUCUCAUCUGAGUGUGCCCUAAGAACGAGAUAUGUGCAGCUCCUAUCGGGAUUUGUCGGCACAUUCGGGCGGUGUUGCUAGAUUUGUUUUACCUUGUCGAAGUUGUCUUGUAGAACCGGGAUGCCGAGUCUGAUCGGAAUGUCUCGGGAGAAGGUUUAUCCUUCGUUGACCAUGAGAGCUUGUGAUGGGCUAAGUUGAGACACCCCUGCAGGGAUUGAACUUUUGAAAGCCGUGCCCGCAGUUAUGGGCAGAUGGGAAUUUGUUAAUAUCCGGUUGUAGAAAACCUGAAGUUGACCUUAAUUAAAAUGCAUCAACCGCGUGUGUUACCGUGACAGUCUCUUCUCGGCGGGGUCCGGGAAGUGAACACGAUGUUGGAGUUAUGUUUGGACGUAGGUUGUUCUAGGAUCACUUCUCGAUCAUAGUUUGAGGACCGUGCUUUUGCCUUCUCUUCUCGCUCUAAUUUGCGUAUGUUAGCCACCAUAUAAGCUAGUCGCUUGCUGCAGCUCCACCUCAUACCUUUUACCCUACCUAUAAGCUUAAAUAGUCUUGAUCGCGGGUGUGAGAUUGCUGAGUCCCCGUGACUCACAGAUACUUCCAAAACCAGCUUGCAGGUGCUGAUGAGACCGUGCAGGUGACACAACCAAGCUCAAGGAGGAGCUCGAUGAAGAUCUCGUUCUUUGUGUUGUUCCGUUUUCAGUUGAUCAGUAGUGGAGCCCAGUCGGGACGAUCGGGGAUCUGUGUAGCUUUUGGGGUAGUCUUCUUUUAUUUUGGGUUCCGUAGUCGGACCUUGAUUGUAUCUGGUUGAUGUAAUGCUUAUUCAUGUAAUUGUGUGAAGUGGCGAUUGUAAGCCAACUAUGUAUCUCUUCCCCUUAUGUAUUACAUGAGUUG